rnacentral:rRNA from 1 species
GACGAACGCUGGCGGCGUGCUUAACACAUGCCAGUCGAACGAUGAAGCGGUGCUUGCACCGUGGAUUAGUGGCGAACGGGUGAGUAAUACGUGAGUGACCUACCUUUGACUCUGGGAUAAGCCUGGGAAACUGGGUCUAAUACCGGAUACGACCAAUCUCUGCAUGGGGUGUUGGUGGAAAGCGUUAUGGAGUGGUUUUAGAUGGGCUCACGGCCUAUCAGCUUGUUGGUGAGGUAAUGGCUUACCAAGGCGACGACGGGUAGCCGGCCUGAGAGGGUGACCGGCCACACUGGGACUGAGACACGGCCCAGACUCCUACGGGAGGCAGCAGUGGGGAAUAUUGCACAAUGGGCGCAAGCCUGAUGCAGCGACGCCGCGUGAGGGAUGACGGCCUUCGGGUUGUAAACCUCUGUUAGCAUCGAAGAAGCGAAAGUGACGGUAGGUGCAGAGAAAGCGCCGGCUAACUACGU